CAUCGAGACCGGCGGAGGGACAGGCCCUUUGAUGCCGGGGCAACCAGCGCGACGCGCCAGCGUCGCGUGGUCGGUGCCAAAUCCUGCGGGGACCGCGUCCGCGUCCGCCGAAAGAU
rnacentral:ncRNA from 1 species